ACGAACGCUGGCGGCAUGCUUAACACAUGCAAGUCGAACGGACUGAUUCCCUUCGGGGAUGAAAGUUAGUGGCGAACGGGUGAGUAAUGUAUGAGCAACCUGCCUCUGUCAACGGGAUAACAGCCGGAAACGACUGCUAAUACGGUAUAUGACCACGGCACCGCAUGGUGCAGCGGUAAAAGAUUUUAUCGGACAGAGAUGGGCUCAUAUCCCAUUAGGUAGUUGGUGAGAUAACAGCCCACCAAGCCGACGAUGGGUAGCCGAGCUGAGAGGCUGAUCGGCCACAUUGGGACUGAAACACGGCCCAGACUCCUACGGGAGGCAGCAGUGGGGAAUAUUGGGCAAUGGAGGCAACUCUGACCCAGCAAUGCCGCGUGAGCGAUGAAGGUAGUUUUAUUGUAAAGCUCUUUUCUCUGGAACGAACAAAUGACGGUACCAGAGGAAUAAGCCCCGGCUAACUACGUGCCAGCAGCCGCGGUAAUACGUAGGGGGCGAGCGUUGUCCGGAAUGACUGGGCGUAAAGGGUGUGUAGGUGGUUUGAUAAGUUAGAUGUGUAAUACCCAGGGCUUAACUCGGGUGCUGCAUCUAAAACUGUUAGACUUGAGUACUGGAGAGGAUAGUGGAAUUCCUAGUGUAGCGGUGGAAUGCGUAGAUAUUAGGAGGAACAUCAGUGGCGAAGGCGACUAUCUGGACAGCAACUGACACUGAGGCACGAAAGCGUGGGGAGCAAACAGGAUU
rnacentral:rRNA from 1 species